rnacentral:rRNA from 1 species
UACGGGGGGGGCAAGCGUUGUUCGGAAUUACUGGGCGUAAAGGGCUCGUAGGUGGCCAACUAAGUCAGACGUGAAAUCCCUCAGCUUAACUGGGGAACUGCGUCUGAUACUGGAUGGCUUGAGUUUGGGAGAGGGAUGCGGAAUUCCAGGUGUAGCGGUGAAAUGCGUAGAUAUCUGGAGGAACACCGGUGGCGAAGGCGGCAUCCUGGACCAACACUGACACUGAGGAGCGAAAGCCAGGGGAGCGAACGGG